UUUGAAUACCAGAGAUUCUGGGUCAAAGUCCGUAAUCCUCCCAAAUCUGAAACCACAGCAUAUAAUAUUAGUUUAGUCUCAAGCGUCACUCGAACCGGCAACCUCUAAGCUUCACCUAGGGUUUUUACCAAUUAAGCUAACGAUAUUUGGUAUAAAUGAAUUCUUUUUU
rnacentral:sRNA from 1 species